AAGGGAGACCUAAUUCGGGUAUGGGAUGAAAAAAAAGUAGUCCCUACCAAGAAUCAAUCCCAAAAGGUCGGAGCGAGGCAAAAUUGGCUUUCAAACUAGGUUCUGGGUUCACACAAGGCCUGAAUCAGGAACAAGGGCUAUUAGCUCAGGUGGUUAGAGCGCACCCCUGAUAAGGGUGAGGUCCCUGGUUCGAGUCCAGGAUGGCCCACCUGCACAGGUGGCAAAAACAAAGAAAAGAAGCUCCGAAUCAGCACCUUAUCUUACUUAUAUAGUAAGAGAGAAUGCUGGCUCUGAGUUCAGAGUCCAGAGGAACCUUGAAAACUGCAUAGAGCUAGGUGAAAAAGCCAAAAAAGAAGACCGCCA
rnacentral:tRNA from 1 species